AAAAAGUGGAUGAUCCUACUUACAUAUACGUAUAUGUAAGUAGGAUCAUCCACUUUUU
rnacentral:miRNA from 1 species